GGGGACGUUUUGGAUUUGACAGGAUGUUUUGGUGAAAAUAGGUUGCGUGUCCGAGAGCUGUUCUCGGUUAUCAACGGGCAAAACAAAUUAAAUGCUAACAAUGUAAUCAAAGCAGACUUCUCUAGAGCAAAUGCUUUAGCUGCAUAAGUCGCUGAUUCUAGCUACUCAUAGAACCCAGCUUGCCGGUUUUAUGGGUCCAUUAUGCAAGACGCAGUGUGUUGAUUGGUGGUAGACACAUCAAGAUAACCAUCAAGGGUUUAGAGUUUCCCUCAAAUAAAACCUAGGAUUAGCUUGUCAGGUUUUGAUAUUUUCCUGAGUUAAUCGAGAGAAUAAAUAUCUACACACGUAGAGGUUUAUUUUUAUCCAUUUUGGACGUGGGUUCGACUCCCACCGUCUCCACCA
rnacentral:tmRNA from 4 species